UUCGCAGUUGGAAGUGGUGAUCUCAGACCU
rnacentral:piRNA from 1 species